rnacentral:rRNA from 1 species
UACAGAGGUCCCAAGCGUUGUUCGGAUUCACUGGGCGUAAAGGGCGCGUAGGCGGCCACCGCAAGUCGACUGUGAAAUCUCCGGGCUUAACCCGGAAAGGUCAGCCGAUACUGCGGGGCUAGAGUGCAGAAGGGGCAACUGGAAUUCUCGGUGUAGCGGUGAAAUGCGUAGAUAUCGAGAGGAACACCUGCGGCGAAGGCGGGUUGCUGGGCUGACACUGACGCUGAGGCGCGAAAGCUAGGGGAGCGAACGGG